rnacentral:rRNA from 1 species
UUCGCAAUGCCCGAAAGGGUGAACGAGCGACGCCGCGUGCGGGAUGAAGGGUUUCGGCUUGUAAACCGCUUUUCUUUGGGAAGAAGGUCUGUCUCGUGCAGAUGGGCUCGACGGUACCAGAGGAAUAAGCCUCGGCUAACUCCGUGCCAGCAGCCGCGGUAAGACGGAGGAGGCAAGCGUUAUUCGGAAUCACUGGGCUUAAAGCGCGUGUAGGCGGAUGGGAACGUCGGCCUUUGAAAGCCCCCGGCUCAACCGGGGAAGCGGAGCCGAAACGACCAAUCUGGAGGGACGUAGGGGGACCUGGAACUUCCGGUGGAGCGGUGAAAUGCGUUGAGAUCGGAAGGAACGCCCGUGGCGAAAGCGAGGUCCUGGACGUCUGCUGACGCUGAGACGCGAAAGCUAGGGGAGCAAACGGGAUUAGAUACCCCGGUAGUCCUAGCCGUAAACGAUGGGCACUAAGUAGAGGGGUUUU